ACACAUGCAGUCGAGCGGAUGAAGGGAGCUUGCUCCUGGAUUCAGCGGCGGACGGGUGCUCUACACAGGGGCAUCUGCCUGGUAGUGGGGGAUAACGUUCCGACCCUUAAGCUAAUACCGCAUACGUCCUACGGGAGAAAGCAGGGGACCUUCGGGCCUUGCGCUAUCAGAUGAGCCUAGGUCGGAUUAGCUAGUUGGUGAGGUAAUGGCUCACCAAGGCGACGAUCCGUAACUGGUCUGAGAGGAUGAUCAGUCACACUGGAACUGAGACACGGUCCAGACUCCUACGGGAGGCAGCAGUGGGGAAUAUUGGACAAUGGGCGAAAGCCUGAUCCAGCCAUGCCGCGUGUGUGAAGAAGGUCUUCGGAUUGUAAAGCACUUUAAGUUGGGAGGAAGGGCUGUAGGCUAAUAUCCUGCAGUUUUGACGUUACCAACAGAAUAAGCACCGGCUAACUUCGUGCCAGCAGCCGCGGUAAUACGAAGGGUGCAAGCGUUAAUCGGAAUUACUGGGCGUAAAGCGCGCGUAGGUGGUUCGUUAAGUUGGAUGUGAAAGCCCCGGGCUCAACCUGGGAACUGCAUCCAAAACUGGCGAGCUAGAGUACGGUAGAGGGUAGUGGAAUUUCCUGUGUAGCGGUGAAAUGCGUAGAUAUAGGAAGGAACACCAGUGGCGAAGGCGACUACCUGGACUGAUACUGACACUGAGGUGCGAAAGCGUGGGGAGCAAACAGGAUUAGAUACCCUGGUAGUCCACGCCGUAAACGAUGUCAACUAGCCGUUGGAAUCCUUG
rnacentral:rRNA from 1 species